ACAGUUUUGGUAUCCUGGCUAGUAGGUGGCGAAUACUGAAGAGACCUUUUCGAGCGUCAGAAGAAACCACUGAGAACAUUGUAAGGGCAUGUGUGGCGCUUCACAAUUUUCUGAUGAAAGAUUCGGUGUUCGCAACAUACAACCCUCCUGGAUUUGUUGACCAUGAAGACUGGGAGGGAAAUGUCACAAAUGGGGCAUGGAGGAACGACAGCAGUGCCCUUCCUGGAUGGACAGACCAGGGCUACCACUCUGCUCGGGCUGCAUUGGAAGUAAGGGAUAGACUGGCAUCCUACUUCAUGAGUGACGGCCAGGUGCCAUGGCAGGAAAGUGUCGUGACCCGUGCAGGACGGCAGGAAAUGUGAACCAUGCCAGUACCUAGAGGAACGUCCAUUGGCUGCUCUCCUUUUGGCAGACCUGCAGGACAGGCC